UACGAAGGGGGCUAGCGUUGCUCGGAAUCACUGGGCGUAAAGCGCACGUAGGCGGAUUGUUAAGUCAGGGGUGAAAUCCUGGAGCUCAACUCCAGAACUGCCUUUGAUACUGGCGAUCUCGAGUCCGGGAGAGGUGAGUGGAACUGCGAGUGUAGAGGUGAAAUUCGUAGAUAUUCGCAAGAACACCAGUGGCGAAGGCGACUCACUGGCCCGGUACUGACGCUGAGGUGCGAAAGCGUGGGGAGCAAACAGG
rnacentral:rRNA from 1 species